GUUGUAUGGUUAAGUGACUAAGCGUACACGGUGGAUGCCUUGGCAGUCAGAGGCGAUGAAAGACGUAGUAACUUGCGAUAAGCCCAGAUUAGGUAGUAACAACCAUUUGAGUCUGGGAUUUCUGAAUGGGGAAACCCACGUGCAUAAGCACGUAUCCUUACCUGAAUACAUAGGGUAAGGAGGCGAACCGGGGGAACUGAAACAUCUAAGUACCCCGAGGAAAAGAAAUCAACCGAGAUUCCGAAAGUAGCGGCGAGCGAAAUUGGACUAGCCCUUAAGCUUUACACGCGUUAGACGAACGGUCUGGAAAGUCCGACGAUACAGGGUGAUAGUCCCGUAGUUGACGACGUGUGUUCAGUGAAAUCGAGUAGGGCGGGACACGUGAUAUCCUGUCUGAAUAUGGGGGGACCAUCCUCCAAGGCUAAAUACUACUGACUGACCGAUAGUGAACCAGUACCGUGAGGGAAAGGCGAAAAGAACCCCUGUGAGGGGAGUGAAAUAGAACCUGAAACCGUGUACGUACAAGCAGUAGGAGCAGGCUUUGUCCUGUGACUGCGUACCUUUUGUAUAAUGGGUCAGCGACUUAUAUUCAGUGGCAAGGUUAACCAUCUAGGGGAGCCGUAGGGAAACCGAGUCUUAACUGGGCGUUCAGUCUCUGGAUAUAGACCCGAAACCAGGUGAUCUAGCCAUGGGCAGGUUGAAGGUUGAGUAACAUCAACUGGAGGACCGAACCGACUAAUGUUGAAAAAUUAGCGGAUGACUUGUGGCUAGGGGUGAAAGGCCAAUCAAACCUGGAGAUAGCUGGUUCUCCCCGAAAGCUAUUUAGGUAGCGCCUCGGACGAAUACUACUGGGGGUAGAGCACUGUUAAGGCUAGGGGGUCAUCCCGACUUACCAACCCUUUGCAAACUCCGAAUACCAGUAAGUACUAUCCGGGAGACACACGGCGGGUGCUAACGUCCGUCGUGGAGAGGGAAACAACCCAGACCGCCAGCUAAGGUCCCAAAUUACUACUAAGUGGGAAACGAUGUGGGAAGGCUCAGACAGCCAGGAUGUUGGCUUAGAAGCAGCCAUCAUUUAAAGAAAGCGUAAUAGCUCACUGGUCGAGUCGGCCUGCGCGGAAGAUGUAACGGGGCUAAGUAGUAAACCGAAGCUGCGGCAAUGUGCUUUUGCACAUUGGGUAGGGGAGCGUUCUGUAAGCGGUUGAAGGUGUGUGAUAACGCAUGCUGGACGUAUCAGAAGUGCGAAUGCUGACAUGAGUAACGAUAAAGGGGGUGAAAAACCUCCUCGCCGGAAGACCAAGGGUUCCUGUCCAACGUUAAUCGGGGCAGGGUAAGUCGACCCCUAAGGCGAGGCCGAAAGGCGUAGUCGAUGGGAAACGGGUUAAUAUUCCCGUACUUCUUACAAUUGCGAUGGGGGACGGAGAAGGCUAGGUGGGCCUGGCGACGGUUGUCCAGGUUCAAGUGCGUAGGCUUAAGAGUUAGGUAAAUCCGGCUCUUUUUAAGGCUGAGACACGACGUCGAGCAUCUACGGAUGUGAAGUCAUUGAUGCCAUGCUUCCAGGAAAAGCCUCUAAGCUUCAGAUUGUAAGGAAUCGUACCCCAAACCGACACAGGUGGUCGGGUAGAGAAUACCAAGGCGCUUGAGAGAACUCGGGUGAAGGAACUAGGCAAAAUGGUACCGUAACUUCGGGAGAAGGUACGCUCUCGACGGUGAAGUCCCUCGCGGAUGGAGCUAUUGAGAGUCGCAGAUACCAGGUGGCUGCAACUGUUUAUUAAAAACACAGCACUGUGCAAAAUCGUAAGAUGACGUAUACGGUGUGACGCCUGCCCGGUGCCGGAAGGUUAAUUGAUGGGGUUAGACUUCGGUCGAAGCUCUUGAUCGAAGCCCCGGUAAACGGCGGCCGUAACUAUAACGGUCCUAAGGUAGCGAAAUUCCUUGUCGGGUAAGUUCCGACCUGCACGAAUGGCGUAAUGAUGGCCACGCUGUCUCCACCCGAGACUCAGUGAAAUUGAAAUCGCUGUGAAGAUGCAGUGUACCCGCGGCUAGACGGAAAGACCCCGUGAACCUUUACUACAGCUUGGCACUGAACAUUGACCCUACAUGUGUAGGAUAGGUGGGAGGCUUUGAAGCACGUACGCCAGUAUGUGUGGAGCCGUCCUUGAAAUACCACCCUUGUAGUGUUGAUGUUCUAACGUCGACCCCUUAUCGGGGUUGCGGACAGUGCCUGGUGGGUAGUUUGACUGGGGCGGUCUCCUCCCAAAGAGUAACGGAGGAGCACGAAGGUGGGCUAAUCACGGUUGGACAUCGUGAGGUUAGUGCAAUGGCAUAAGCCCGCUUGACUGCGAGAAUGACAAUUCGAGCAGGUGCGAAAGCAGGUCAUAGUGAUCCGGUGGUUCUGAAUGGAAGGGCCAUCGCUCAACGGAUAAAAGGUACUCCGGGGAUAACAGGCUGAUACCGCCCAAGAGUUCAUAUCGACGGCGGUGUUUGGCACCUCGAUGUCGGCUCAUCACAUCCUGGGGCUGAAGUCGGUCCCAAGGGUAUGGCUGUUCGCCAUUUAAAGUGGUACGCGAGCUGGGUUUAGAACGUCGUGAGACAGUUCGGUCCCUAUCUGCCGUGGGCGUUGGAAGAUUGAAGGGGGCUGCUCCUAGUACGAGAGGACCGGAGUGGACGAACCUCUGGUGUUCGGGUUGUGUCGCCAGACGCAUUGCCCGGUAGCUAAGUUCGGAAUCGAUAACCGCUGAAAGCAUCUAAGCGGGAAGCGAGCCCUGAGAUGAGUCUUCCCUGAUACUUUAAGUAUCCUAAAGGGUUGUCGGAGACUACGACGUUGAUAGGUCAGGUGUGUAAGUGCUGUGAGGCAUUGAGCUAACUGAUACUAAUUGCCCGUGAGGCUUAACCAUACAACACCCAAGGGGUUU
rnacentral:rRNA from 1 species